rnacentral:rRNA from 1 species
UACGAAGGGGGCUAGCGUUGUUCGGAAUUACUGGGCGUAAAGCGCACGUAGGCGGAUAUUUAAGUCAGGGGUGAAAUCCCAGAGCUCAACUCUGGAACUGCCUUUGAUACUGGGUAUCUCGAGUAUGGAAGAGGUGAGUGGAAUUCCGAGUGUAGAGGUGAAAUUCGUAGAUAUUCGGAGGAACACCAGUGGCGAAGGCGGCUCACUGGUCCGGUACUGACGCUGAGGCGCGAAAGCGUGGGGAGCAAACGGG